rnacentral:pre_miRNA from 1 species
UUUCUACUCCCUCUGUUCAAAAAUACUUGUCAUCAAAAUGGAUAAAAAUAGAUGUAUCUAAAACUAAAAUACUUCUAGAUACAUUUCCUUUUAGCCAUUUUGAUGAGAAGUAUUUCCGGACGGAGGGAGUAUUUG